AUCGCGCUGUUUUAGCGAUUGAUACGUGUGUGUAGGUGUAUGGGCGCGUGCCACGUGCGUAGAGAGGUCAGAGAGAGAAGGUGUAUCUACGUUCGAUAAGUGGAUUAGCUUCUGUCUGGAGACUUUUUCGCGGGAAGGACGGUGCGGAAAAUAUUUUUUAAUCUCCCUUCGCGAUGGUUAUUGGAUAUACUCAAUGACUUGGAUGUGAGGUUAUCGAAAGUUCGUGAAUUGGAAAAUGUGGAGGUUUUUACCAAUUAAAGUUUAAACUUUUCUUUGAAGCAGACAAAUAAUAAGAUCUCAUUUGUCGCAAACGUGCAUUUUUGCAAACGAAUUAAGCAUGAAAUGAAAUCUGUUCGCAAUUGAUCCCUUGACGAGUGACACUCGUGUUAUAGGUUAUAGGCCAAAACUGGAAAACAUGAUUGUGACAUGAUUGCGCUUUGCUAUAAAUAUUCUUAUUUAUUUUCUUCGAAUUAUAUGUAGACAAGAUGGCAGACGCCUAUGCAGCACGCGCACUUACCGAGCGCACAAAUUAAAUAAAUCAACUCUGGCUCACGCAACGGCGGGAAAAAUCGUAAGCUGGUUUCCAGUCAGCGUACGUCGCUACAGGAAAACGUACAUAGUAUGGUCUACGACUGCAUCGUAGUACAUCAGUAUUCGUGAUUUGAAAAUACACGUUGGGGUGUAUUUCCGUUCGGCGUACAUCGACGGGGAC